rnacentral:rRNA from 1 species
GACGGAGGGUGCAAGCGUUGUUCGGAAUUACUGGGCGUAAAGCGUAUGUAGGCGGUUAGUUAAGUCAAAUGUUAAAGACCAAGGCUCAACCUCGGGAAUGCAUUUGAUACUGGCUAACUAGAGGGUGUUAGAGGAAGGCGGAAUUCCCAGUGUAGCGGUGAAAUGCGUAGAUAUUGGGAGGAACAUCGGUGGCGAAAGCGGCCUUCUGGGACAUACCUGACGCUGAGGUACGAAAGCGUGGGGAGCAAACGGG